GACCAGGUGGCUGAACGGCUAAGGCGCUGGGUUGCCAACUCCAUGCACUCACGCACUCGCACUGCGUGGUAGCAGGUUCGAUUCCUGUCCCGGUCU
rnacentral:tRNA from 1 species